rnacentral:rRNA from 1 species
AGAAUGAACGCUAGCGAUAUGCUUAACACAUGCAAGUUGAACGUUGUUUUCGAAUCAGAAUGAGAACAAAGUAGCGAACGGGUGCGUAACACGUGGGAAUCUGCCGAACAGUUUGGGCCAAAUCCCGAAUGAAUAAAAGCUAAAAAGCGCUGUUUGAUGAGCCCACGUAGUAUUAGGUAGUUGGUUAGGUAAAAGCUGACCAAGCCUACGAUGCUUAGCUGGUCUUUUCGGAUGAUCAGCCACACUGGGACUGAGACACGGCCCAGACUCCUACGGGAGGCAGCAGUGGGGAAUCUUGGACAAUGGGCGAAAGCCUGAUCCGGCAAUAUGGCGUGAGUGAAGAAGGGCAACGCAGCUUGUAAAGCUCUUUCAUCGAGUGUGCGUAUUGUGACAAGACUCGAAUAAGACGCCCCGGCUAACUCCGCGCCAGCAGCCGC